rnacentral:rRNA from 1 species
CGGGGGGGGGGCAAGCGUUGUUCGGGAAUUACUGGGGCGUAAAGGGGCGCGCAGGCGGCCUGGCAAGUCCUACGUGAAAUCCCACAGCUCAACUGUGGAACUGCGUGGGAUACUGCCAGGCUUGAGUCCGGGAGAGGAGAGUGGAAUUCCCAGUGUAGCGGUGAAAUGCGUAGAUAUUGGGAGGAACACCGGUGGCGAAGGCGGCUCUCUGGACCGGUACUGACGCUGAGGCGCGAAAGCUAGGGGAGCAAACGGGAUUAGAUACCCCGGUAGUCCUAGCCGUAAACUUUGAGCACUUUGUGUGGCGGGUAUCGACCCCUGCCGUGCAGAAGCUAACGCAUUAAGUGCUCCGCCUGGGGAGUACGGUCGCAAAGGCUG